CCAAACUGAACCGAAACAAAAGAAAAACUACAUUUCCCAGAAGGCAGAGCGGCAAGCUGGAAAAGAAGCGCCUUCUUGGGGAACCCCGGGGGCGGGACUUCCGACGUUCUGGAUCUCAUUCUUGCUUCACAGACCAUCUUUCCAAUGGUUCACCGUUCUGGGCAGAAACAGGCUCCUGUGAAUCGAGGGGCGCGAACCAGAAGGACUUCGAGGACAGAGGACCAACUCCCACCUUCUGCGCCUUGAUUUCAUUUGAUGAUGUGGCUGUGACCUUCACUGUGGAGGAAUGGGAAGAUCUGGACCUGGCUCAGAGGACCCUGUACCAGGAAGUGAUGAUGGAGACCUUCUGCUUUCACUGAGUGACGAAGCAAAAUUGGAUGAUGCCUCAAAAUCCACUGCUUCUAAGUUGACUUUUUACCUCCAAGAACAACUGUCACAGAGAUCCUCAGAGGACUCCAGGUUAGGGCAGAUCAAGGAGAAAGAAACAUGGUCAGAAAUACAAAAUGGGAACACAAGGACAACAGACUCCUCCAAAGAGACAUUCCCUGGAAAGCUGAGGCAAAAACAUGGUACUUUGGAGACAGAUAAUAGUUUCUGUUUACAGGUCUUACAGGAGCAAACUACUCCAUAG
rnacentral:lncRNA from 14 species